rnacentral:rRNA from 1 species
GAUCCUGGCUCAGGAUGAACGCUAGCUACAGGCUUAACACAUGCAAGUCGAGGGGCAGCAUGAACUUAGCUUGCUAAGUUUGAUGGCGACCGGCGCACGGGUGAGUAACACGUAUCCAACCUUCCCGUUACUCUGGGAUAGCCUUUCGAAAGAAAGAUUAAUACCGGAUAGUAUCGAGAGAUUGCAUGAUAACCCGAUUAAAGAUUUAUCGGUAACGGAUGGGGAUGCGUUCCAUUAGAUAGUAGGCGGGG